rnacentral:rRNA from 1 species
UACAGAGGGUGCAAACGUUGUUCGGAAUUACUGGGCGUAAAGCGCGUGUAGGCGGUCCUGUAGGUCAGGUGUGAAAUCCCCCGGCUCAACCGAGGAAGUGCACUUGAAACCCCAGGACUUGAGUGUUGGAGAGGAAGGCGGAAUUGUCGGUGUAGAGGUGAAAUUCGUAGAUAUCGACAGGAACACCUGCGGCGAAAGCGGCCUUCUGGACAAACACUGACGCUGAGACGCGAAAGCGUGGGGAGCAAACAGG